AAAGAGAGGGCCUAUGGCAUCCUUAUACCAGAGAGCAAGCUUGGGCUUUUAUUUUUUAUAGCAAAAUUCUUUUUCUUGUCUCUUAAUUUUCUUUUGCUUUUGGUGUUUGUCUUGCAUCAUAGGUAAAUGCUUUUGAUCUGCAUCAAGUAGCGUGUUGUUCUAUAAAAAGCUCUUAUCACCUCCAAGUCAAACAAAGAUAUAGGAGUUCUUAAGAAACAUGGCACAAAUGGAGAUGCAAUGAAGGUUGGUAGGUCUUGCAAUGAUUUGGCUUUUGCUACUAAACAACUAUUAUGUUGUGGAGGCAUCACAUGCGGAGAUGGUUGAAGCAAUGCCUAACAAGGGUUUUGUCGAACCACAAUGCAUGCUUCAGGCAUUCCACUUCAAGAAAACUCUACCAAAACCUUCAAACUCCUAUCAUUGUGGUUGCAGUCCGAAUUCUUAUUGCCAUGGUUAGCAGCAAAUAAUGAAGGUGAUGGCAUAUGUGACAAUAGCUACAGUGGCAGUAGCAGCACAAUUAGCGGUGCUCAGGGAGUUGGGGUGGUUAGAGCGGCAGAGCAUUAAGUUAUGCAAUCGCUAUAGGAACUUCUGUUCCCAAGGGGAGGAAAUUCUGAGUUCAUGUGUUGUUAGCCUUGUCAUGGUCAAUCUCUCUGGUUUAUCUGCCAUUAACCUCUUUUGCUCGUAUGGGAACAACAAAAGAAAGUGUAGGGGAGGUUGAUGGAUAGAAUAAAAUGCUGCCCGUAUUUUGUUAACAAUAUGUAAUCCUUUCUGUCUUUGUCCUUUGGUUGUUAAAGUAGUUAUCCUUUAUGGGUGCAGAUCCUCUAUGGUAUCGCGAGGCAACACAUAGUGCAAUGCAUCAUGCGUGCCAUCUAUCGCAUGAUGGAUAGGCUGCACAUGACCGCAUGCAUGUGCACACACAGUCGCGUGCACCAUCCACCGUGCGAUGGAAGGUGCGUGUAGUGCACCACAUAGUGCGGUGCACUGCAGAGGAUACGCAUGCAUCCUUUAUUGUGUGCUCUGUAAAUGUUUGUCAUAUGUAUGAAAUAAAUGCAAGACGUGUUUCUAUAUGC